rnacentral:rRNA from 1 species
UUCGGAAUUACUGGGCGUAAAGGGCUCGUAGGCGGCCAACUAAGUCGGAUGUGAAAUCCCCAGGCUUAACCUGGGAACUGCAUCCGAUACUGGAUGGCUUGAAUUCGGGAGAGGGAUGCAGAAUUCCAGGUGUAGCGGUGAAAUGCGUAGAUAUCUGGAGGAAUACCGGUGGCGAAGGCGGCAUCCUGGACCAAUACUGACACUGAGGAGCGAAAGCGUGGGGAGCAAACAGG